AACAGCGGUACCGAUACGAUCACAGAGCCACUACAUUGUCGGAACUGCAACAAAGCACAGCGUGUUUUCUGCAGCUGACUUUAAGAUAGGUUGAAGAGUACAUGCCGUUCAGUCUUAUAAACGACUUUAGC